rnacentral:tRNA from 1 species
UGGAGAUGUACUCAAGUUGGCUGAAGAGGCGCCCCUGCUAAGGGUGUAGGUCGGGAAACUGGCGCGAGAGUUCGAAUCUCUCCAUCUCCGU